rnacentral:rRNA from 1 species
UAGGGAAUCUUCCACAAUGGACGCAAGUCUGAUGGAGCAACGCCGCGUGGGUGAAGAAGGGUUUCGGCUCGUAAAGCUCUGUUGUUAAAGAAGAACGUGGGUAAGAGUAACUGUUUACCCAGUGACGGUAUUUAACCAGAAAGCCACGGCUAACUACGUGCCAA